AAAUCGUACAACAUUAUUUCCCAAGCCAACAACCCCUGCAAGCUGCGGUCACCCGUGAUCCUGAAUUAUCCGCCCUCUUGGCGAUCAUUAGCUAUUGAUUGAGUUACAUAUCUUUGCACAGUUCAUUAUCGUCUCGUCUUAUUCAAUGGCAGAUGUCUGGCGAUAGACUGCAUCUAAUGGUCGGACGGUGUGAAUUCCAAGCAACUCACGCAAUUUCUUCUUGUCUCUUGAAUAUGACAGCGAUAGAUCACGUGUGGUGCUGUGAGUUCUCUGCCCCUAGUGAACGGGAUAACUGAGCGAUGCUUAAUGGAUGAUUUUUUUUUCUUUAGUGGAAUUCUAGGUCAAGUCAUUUACCCAUAAGGCCCUAUGGCUUGUUUUCUGCCAUGGGCGUCACCGAGUCCACACCAAGCUCAAUGAGUUCGCACACAGCCAAGACACACCAUUUGAUAUACUGACUGUGACAUUCACUAGCCAGAGGUGCCAAGUUUGACCAUUUCACAUCUGACGUUAGAAUGAUCCUAAAACCCAAAUCCUAACCACCACAUUGAAUGCGAGGAGCUGCACGUGACUCCCUGUUCACCAGACACUUUGAUUGUUCAUGACAAAUGAGUUCCAAAGAAGGAAGAACUGAAUCCUAGACAAGUUGAGCAGAAAGACCUACCAACUGUUACAAUGAAAUGAGAAGAUCACUACGUUUGAGUCCACUGCGUUUAGUUAUACCCUCAUCAUUGUAACUAACACCAAUAGAGUCACAUCUUUUCGUACACUAUUCAUUUACUAGUAAUGUCCCAGUCAAAUCAAAGAGGACUGUUGACAACGAGUCACCAACAACUGGUAACAUUUGUAACAAAGACUGUGAACUAAUUCCUUUUCUACAUCUGUUUUUAACAGUGACAUGUGAACAGAAAAAUUCUCAAGUGGAAUGAAAUGGAACAUAAGAUUCCCCAGAACUUCAGCCAUGAAUGUAAAAUGAAAUUUUGUUGGAAAACAAAGUGUUAGGAUUCUCUUAAUACUGAGCUGAUACUAUUAGCACUAUGGUUUACAAAUCAAAGUGACACUGGUGUACUGAGCUGAUACUAAACUACUAUCUCUGUAUGUUACUAUUCAGUU